rnacentral:rRNA from 1 species
AUGUCUAGCUCGACUUCGGCCACCCGUCAAUCAUGGACGCAGUACGGUCCACUACCGUUGACAAGAUGCCCCGAUUGCCCGCGCAUGGAGCCUCUGAAGCGUUUGACUUGUGUGAGGGAAGAAAAUGGUAACCGUGGGCGCGAGUUUGUGAAAUGCUUGAGCAAGCCACAGCCGGGGCAGGUUCGGAAGAAAUGUGGGCAUUUUGAGUGGCUCGAUGACUAUGUUGAAAGGUUGAAAUUGGAGGGAUCAACCCCAACCCAAGAGCUCAAUUUUGGGGGGCGGCUUGCCGUGGAACAAGCCCCCAAUUUGGCGGACAGAGCCGAUCCGAUGAUGCACAGUGCAGAACUGAAGUGUGAAUAA